rnacentral:rRNA from 1 species
GACGAACGCUGGCGGCGUGCCUAAUACAUGCAAGUCGAGCGAAGCGGCGGAUGGGUGAGUCACGCGUGGGUAACCUGCCCUUCAGUCUGGAAUACCAUUUGUAACCAGAUCCUAAUACCGGAUACUAAAGGAUUGACCUGCGAUGCAUUAGCUAGUUGGUACGGUAACGGCUCACCAAGGCGAUGAUGCAUAGCCGAGUUGAGAGACUGACCGGCCACAUUGGGACUGAGAAACGGCCCAGACUCCUAAGGGAGGCAGCAGUAGGGAAUCUUCCACAAUGGACGAAAGCCUGAUGGAGCCAUGCCGCGUGAGUGAAGAAGGUUUUCGGAUCGUAAAGCUCUGUCGUUGGUGAAGCGGUAAUCAACCAGAAAGUCACGGCUAACUACGUGCCAGCAGCCGCGGUAAUAC